rnacentral:lncRNA from 1 species
AACCCUACUCACCUCAGUCACAUUUCAGUUUAAUAUGAGAGGUUGCCCCCCCCCCCCCUUACUAACCCUACUCCACCUCAGGCACAUUUCAGUUUAAUAUGAGAGGUUGCCCCCCCCCCCCCCUUACUAACCUACUCCACCUCAGUCACAUUUCAGUUUAAAUGAGAGGUUGGUCCCCCCCCUUACUAACCCUACUCCACCUCAGUCACAUUUCAGUUUAAUAUGAGAGGUUGGUCCCCCCCCUUACUAACCCUACGCCACUCAGUCACAUUUCGUUUAAUAUUGAGAGGUGGUCCCCCCCUUACUAACCCUACUCCACCUCGUCACAUUUCAGUUUAAUAUGAGGUUGGUCCCCCCCCCUUACUACCCUACUCCACCUCAGUCACAUUUCAGUUUAAUAUGAAGGUUGGUCCCCCCCCUUACUAACCCUAUCCACCUCCGUCACAUUUCAGUUUUAAUAGGAGGUUGCCCCCCCCCUCACCCUUACUAACCCUACUCCACCUCGUCACAUUUCAGUUUAAUAUGAGAGGUGGUCCCCCCCCUUACUAACCUACUCCACUCUCAGUCACUUUCAGUUUAAUAUAAGAGGUUGCCCCCCCCCCCCCCCUCUCCCCCUUACUAACCCUACUCCACUCACGUCACUUUCAGUUUAAUAUGAGAGGUUGCCCCCCACCUUACUAACCCUACUCCACUCAGUCACAUUUCGUUUAAUAUAAGAGGUUGCCCCCCCCCCCCUCUCCCCCUUACUAAACCUAUCCACCUCAGUCACAUUUCAGUUUAAUAUGAGAGGUUGCCCCCCACAUUACUAACCCUUACUCCACCUCAGUCACAUUUCAGUUUAAUAUAAAGGGUUGCCCCCCCCCCCCCUUCCCCCUCUACUGAACCCUACUCCACCUCAGUCACAUUUCAGUUUAAUAGGAGGUUGCCCCCCCACCUUACUAACCCUACUCCCCUCAGUCACAUUUCAGUUUAUAUGCGAGGUUGGUCCCCCCCCUCUUACUAACCCUACUCCACCUCCGUCACAUUUCAGUUUAAUAUGAGAGGUUGGUCCCCCCCCUCAACCCUACUCCACCU